UACGGAGGGUGCUAGCGUUGUCCGGAAUUAUUGGGCGUAAAGCGUAUGUAGGCGGCUUUGUAAGUUAGAGGUGAAAGCCCGGGGCUCAACCCCGGAAUGGCCUUUAAGACUGCAUCGCUUGAAUCAUGGAGAGGUGAGUGGAAUUCCGAGUGUAGAGGUGAAAUUCGUAGAUAUUCGGAAGAACACCAGUGGCGAAGGCGACUCGCUGGACAUGUAUUGACGCUGAGGUACGAAAGCGUGGGGAGCAAACAGG
rnacentral:rRNA from 1 species